AUUGAACGCUGGCGGCAUGCCUUACACAUGCAAGUCGAACGGCAGCACGGGAGCAAUCCUGGUGGCGAGUGGCGAACGGGUGAGUAAUACAUCGGAACGUGCCCAGUAGUGGGGGAUAGCCCGGCGAAAGCCGGAUUAAUACCGCAUACGACCUACGGGUGAAAGCGGGGGACCGCAAGGCCUCGCGCUAUUGGAGCGGCCGAUGUCAGAUUAGCUAGUUGGUGGGGUAAAAGCCUACCAAGGCGACGAUCUGUAGCUGGUCUGAGAGGACGACCAGCCACACUGGGACUGAGACACGGCCCAGACUCCUACGGGAGGCAGCAGUGGGGAAUGUUGGACAAUGGGCGCAAGCCUGAUCCAGCCAUGCCGCGUGCGGGAAGAAGGCCUUCGGGUUGUAAACCGCUUUUGUCAGGGAAGAAACGCUCCGAGAUAAUACCUUGGAGUAAUGACGGUACCUGAAGAAUAAGCACCGGCUAACUACGUGCCAGCAGCCGCAGUAACAC
rnacentral:rRNA from 1 species